rnacentral:misc_RNA from 1 species
CAUUUGCAGACAGAGAACCGGAUUUCAGAUGUUUGGGACCGGGUUGCGAUGCGACGGCGAAGAGUGUUUGUAGAUUUGAAACGGGUUCGUGGGAGUGGAUUGGUGGCCUGGAGAGGUCCACGGUGGCACAGGGGGGGUUGGUCUGUGGACAGAAGUUCAAGGUCGGAUUGGUUCAGUCCGUUUUCUUCGGCGGCUGCAUGAUUGGUGCUGGGAUAUUUGGCCAUCUCUCAGACUCCAUACUAGGAAGAAAAGGCUCUCUAA